rnacentral:rRNA from 1 species
AGGACGAACGCUGGCGGCGUGCCUAACACAUGCAAGUCGAACGGGACCAGGGGCAACUCUGGUUCAGUGGCGGACGGGUGCGUAACACGUGAGGAACAUGACCUUCGGCGGGGGAUAGCCGGCCCAACGGCCGGGUAAUACCGCGUACGACCUUUCGGGGACAUCCCCGGAUGGUGAAAGCAGCAAUGCGCCGAUGGAGUGCCUCGCGGCCUAUCAGCUAGUUGGUGAGGUAACGGCUCACCAAGGCAACGACGGGU